rnacentral:lncRNA from 1 species
CUCUCUAAAAAAAUAUUUUCUCUCUCUAGCUUAUAAGCUCAAUUAUUCAAACACUUUGACAACUUAUAAGCUCUUAAAAAUGAUAUCUUAUAAGCUCUUGAAACAUCUUAUAAGCUACAAGAGCUUAUAAGCUCUUUAAAAUAAGCUUAGCCAAACACCCUCUUAUACUGAAAGACCAUCCAAAAAUCUGACGUGUCCAAAUCCGUUGAUUACUAAAACGGCAUCAGUUUGCAAAGAUAGCAACGUAGGCGAGAUAGCAUCAUUUCAUUUGAGACCUCCACCGCCGAGGUCGGGCUCGCGCUCAUCGGUAGUUGAGUUCUACAGACCCCAAACUUGAGUUUCUAACAAUUAAAGAUGUUGCACAAAAUGUAGGCGUGUAGGCAAAUUAAACCUUGCAACUCAUAUUCAAAUUCUGCACACACUUUAAAGCAAAGAAAUGAUAUUUUUCACUCCACGCCAAUCAGCAGUGAGCUCAUUUUCUUAUACAAAAUGGAAUAUGAAUGAUACAUGAAUAAAGAGUGUAUACAAAUAUUUUCAUCACUGUAUAUAACUGCACAAAGAGGAAACCUGUGGAUUCUAUCUGUCCCCAUAUUCUGAAUAUUGUACAACCCUAUCUCGCUUCGGAGACCUGUUCAACAUUACUGAGAAUUAGAAACUGGUAAUAACAUUGGCUAAUCACUCGACACAUUAUUUACAAUUUCUGUCUGGUCACAAUUCCUCUUAUCAUGUCUGUUUCCCCACUAAUAAUAACUGUUACCUAUCUUCUUAAAUGGUUGAAGACCAACAAAGGAACAUGUUCUUGGAUCUUAAUUAUAGCUCAGCUUUUUUUUUUGAACUCUCGUAGCAAAAAUGGUGUUGUUUUGGGCCACAUGUUGCGGCGAUGACUCCAAAAUAUUGCCCAAGGAUUUUAUUGCUUAGGUUUAGGAGCUCCGAGUGCCUAUACGGCUAUCUAGACAUUGUCGGGCUCAAGCCACUCAACCUUUUACCAGAAGGAGGAUAGUAUUAAGCAAGGGAAGAAUCACAACAAGUUUCCAGCAUGUAGGUGUGUAAACACAAAUUUUUGUAUUUCAAUUUGAUAAAAUACAAAAAAAACGCGUUACAAAGAUAAUUUGAUAGAUUUGAAGAUAGAUUUAUGCGGGUUGCAAUCUCUAGUUAAUCCUCUGAUUCUUCUCUUCCAUUUGAUUCUUGAACAAGCUCGAAGGUUCUUGAAAUACUUGAUUUGAUGACGCCAAUCCAAGGGACUUAAGUCAUGAUUUUGGAUUGAACGUUGAACUUGAUUUGAUUUGAUUUGAUUUGAAGAACGUCCUUAGAAUUUGUAAGAACGCCUUGAAGCUUUGGGAUUUGGUUGAUUUGAUUUGAGGAAGAUCGUUCUUGGAAUUUGUAAGAACGCCUUGAUCACUUGAAGAUUUGAAGGUUUGAUCACUUGAAGAUACUUGAAGAAUACUUGAAGAUUUGAAUGCUCAAAUACUUGAAGAUUCGAAGAAGACUUGAACGCUUGAAGAUUUCGAAGGAUACUUGAAGAUUUGAAUGCUCAAAUACUUGAAGAUUCGAAGAAGACUUGAACGCUAGAUAGAAUUCUUCAAGAUACUUGAAUACUUGGAAGAAUACUUGAACUCUCCAAUUCUUCGCCUCUUUCAACUUGCGAUACUAGAGAGAAUUCUUUAUACUCUUCGAUCUUCCGUUCCUUCACGUCGUGAUAAUGAGCACCCCAACACCUCUAUUUAUAGAUUUUAGAGAUGAGCUUUGGGCCUUCAUGCAUGGGCCUUAGGGCUUUAGGUGUCCAUAAGCCCAUUAAUUCAUUUAUAUUAAAUAUUAAUUAUAUAUCUAUUUAAUUUAGGAAUAAAAUCCAUUUAAUAAAAUAGAAAAUAUAAUUGAAUAUUUAAUUCAUGAAUUUACACG